GAUGAACGCUGGCGGCGUGCCUAAUACAUGCAAGUCGAGCGGUAAGGCUCCUUCGGGAGUACACGAGUGGCGGACGGGUGAGUAACGCGUAGGAAUCUGCCUCAUAGUGGGGGACAACGUGGGGAAACUCACGCUAAUACCGCAUACGCCCUACGGGGAAAGCGGGGGACCGUUCGGGCCUCGCGCUAUGAGAUGAGCCUGCGUUAGAUCAGCUAGUUGGUAGGGUAAAGGCCUACCAAGGCGACGAUCUAUAGCUGGUCUGAGAGGACGAUCAGCCACACUGGGACUGAGACACGGCCCAGACUCCUACGGGAGGCAGCAGUGGGGAAUAUUGGACAAUGGGCGCAAGCCUGAUCCAGCAAUACCGCGUGUGUGAAGAAGGCCUUAGGGUUGUAAAGCACUUUCAAUGGGGAGGAAUACCUGGCGGUUAAUACCUGUCAGACUGACAUUACCCAUACAAGAAAGCACCGGCUAACUCCGUGCCAGCAGCCGCGGUAA
rnacentral:rRNA from 1 species